UUGCUAUAAUGUGUGUUCUGGUUGCUUCAGUAGUGGUUGGACUUGUGAUCUGUCGAAAGAAGGGGACAAAUGGAUUCUCACAAGGCAGGUUUCUCAGAAAGAGAGCAAGAUGUAAUUCAGAAUUCUACGUUAACACACCUCAAACCAACAAAUAUUCAGAGUCAGACGUCAAAAGUAGCCUAUCAACUAAUAAAGACCAAAUGAAGCCAGGUCUGCAGGGGGAGGAGAAGUAAAGACAUCCCAAAGACCACAUGGAGUCUGGAGUGGUCAAGACUGUUACCUCUGGUACACACGUAGAAUACCACUGCUGUACUGGAUUGAUUUCAGCCUUAAAUAUAUAAUAUCUGUGUCAGUCUUCAAUACAGCAUAAACAGCAAAAAAUAUUGCUUUACAAAAUAUGUAUAUGAAAGACUUGACACAAAGCACAUGUCUGUAAGAGCUAUCAAUACUUUUGCUAUCUUCUGUCCUUUGUUGGUUUACGUUGUUUAAUUGAGACAUCUGAUUUAGUUGUUCCCAUCUCCUUUAUUUGAUCCAAUUAUGGGAUUCUAUGGAGGUCAAUUUCACUGUGCCUGAUUUACAGUUAAUUUAUUAGUGGUAAAUUGCAAAUUGCUUAUUAGAGCCACCUGUUGAGUACCUGAUAUAGUGACUCUGAUUUUAAUUAAAUGGUCCAAAGACAAAGUUCAAAGUUCAGUAACAAUGAGAUGUGAUAUAAUAUGGGCAUGAGGGACUUAACACAACACAUUAUGGGCUGACAAACUCUGAACAAAGGACAACAUAUGGGAUGUGGCG